GACUCCCCGGCCUGCAUUUGCGGGUCCUCAGUAUUUUGGCUGUCUCCUCUCGGGGGCUUCCAAUUUGACGACGAAUCUGAACAGGCUGGUAACAGCCGCAGCCAGGCUAGUGGAAAACUCGCCGGAUCUGAAGCUGCCCCCCCACCUUUCACCGCCCUAGGAAGACCUCGACAAUCCCCGCAGCUUUUAUCAGCACACAAGAUCGGCGCUGAGCACCACAACUCCAAUCACCGCUAGAGAAGCUGGGUCCAGAGGAGUUGGAGGCAGCGCAGAACCUUGGGAGGGCCCGCACCUGCUAAGCAUGCACGCGGCAGGCUCACCUGAAGCCCGAAAGUGAGCCCGCACAACGCACGCACAUGAGCACGCACGCGCACGCACGGAGGCUCGCUGGAAGCUUGGAGGCGAGCCCGCACGAUGCUCGCACAUGAGCGAGCACGCACGCGUACACACGAGGCACGCAGGUGGGCAUGCGUGCGUUAGGUGUACCUGUACACUUGCUGCUCCCCUGAUGAUUUGCUCAACAGUGUCUGCAAUUGGCAGCCAGAAGGAGUCCGCAAGAAGCAGGAGGGUUCGGACCUGAGACCGCGCCACAGGAGGAAGGCCAGGAUCUGGGAGCGCAAGCCUCAUCUUGCAGCCUGAGGGAACAGCCUCAUAUUCAGGCUUCCUUUUGCCUUCUCUGCUUCACCUUGAUUGAAGCUACCCUUCUCUGCACCUUCUUUAAGACUAUCCUAAACAUCCUGCCAUUAAUUAGCUGAACAGCCCAUCUAGUAAACAAGACCGAUGGUUGAGGGGCUGGAAAAGAGGAGGAGUCAGCAAGUUGAAAGUCACAACAGACCAGCCCACUCCCUCAGAUAAAAGAAAGGCACAUCACAGUUGUCACAUCAGCAGGCUAGAAAAGCCAUCCCAUUCCUGCGGUAGGCAUUCUGUCAAAGAAAAAGAAAUCUGCAAUGAAUUAUCACAUGAAGUCAAACAAGGAAAGGAGGCAAAAAGCAAGCAGAGCCCUCUUCCUGUUUUGUAGACUCUGCUGGCUACAAUCUAAUAGAAUGCUUAAUCUGAAUAUUUCUGGUGGCAAAACUAUAGCAACCAUUCUGUCUAUUAAAAAGUCAGUGUGGUUAACAAGUGGUUAGUGAUUCUAUUUUUGGGAAGUAGCAGAUACAUAAAAUAAGACAUCCCAUUUUGUUAACUGAUUGGGCUUGGUUAGGCCAAAGAGAUGUAUUGAAUCUGUUUGUCUUUUAUAAACAUGUGUUCUCUAUUCGAUAUGCUCAGGAAUCACUUCUAACUAACUAAGUAUCUUAAUAGUCUAUAAAUUACUGACUCAUUACUGGCCCUUCCCGGGCCUAAUUUAUAGUCUGAGUGAAAAGCUGUCGGAACAGACACUAAUAGAGGCCUCUCCUCCUCCCUAAAAUAUGAUGAUCUCAAAGGAGUUCUGUAUAGUUCUGCAUAUUGUAGACAGUAUCAAAAAUGCAAAUCUUAUAUAAUUUUAUAUACAUACCUGUACGUACAGAUGUACACAUGGAUAUGCAUGGUGGGAUAAAAUACUCCCAUAAAAGAAAAUGGGAAAAUGGAUUCUAAGUGCAAUAAUUAAUACGUUUCAGUAAAGAAAGAAAAGUUGCAUGCUUUUCAUUCCAAGAGACAUAUUUUGCAUUUCAGUGUUGGGAGACCUGGAUCACACAGGGUCUCUGUAACAUCCUGAAUUCCACCAUAAGACCCAGAGGGGAGCAGAACUAAAAUUCAGGACUUAGGAAUAAAAUUUCCCUUUCCCUGGCACAUUUUUAAUCAUUUAAACUAGUAACAGUCACAUCCAGAGAAUUCAUAACCGUCAAUCUUUUCAGAAAAACAAAGAAAAUCAUAAAAUUCAGGUUAGGGAUUUUUCCCCCUUAGGCUAAUAACUCUGAAGCAGUUCUGGAGUCUGUAUACUUCCAGCCCAAUGAAUUAACCUUGAACAGCCACAGCCAUAUUUUAAGAAAUACAGAAUAACCUUUUACGAUCAAGAUAAUGCUAUGGAGGCAGUGAAAUCUUCAUCUUAAAAAAUAAUUAAACCACAUUUAUAAUUAAUUAUACUAAAAAUGGAAAGUAGACUUAACCCUUUUAGAAAGACUUCCAUCAACAUGAGGUGAAACAAAUAUAGUUUUCUAGAUAACCUUCUCUUAAUCAUAAAAUUCAAUUAACUUGAAAACCUUCUCUCCAAAUAUCCUGCUUAAGAAGAUUUACUGUGCUUGUCAGGCUUUGGCGCCCUGGCUGAAAUUUCUUUGCUUAGUUAUGCUGCUAUGCAGUUCACUCCAGAUCAGUGUAUCAGGGAUGACAAAACAGUGGCACAUUCCAAGUGUCAUUCCUCAGUGUUCUUUCUGUGAGCUUGUUCUUUACCAUGGGGCUUUUUGUGUUGUAGAACACUUCUGGAUUGAAGAAAACAUUCUAACAAGGACUAGAAAAUUCCAACUCUACUUCCUAAAAUUGCGCUAUAGAACAGUGUUAAGUGAAUGCCUCAGAGAGCCACAAAUAACUUGCAGGAAUGCAUAGGGUGUCUUCCCACAACCACAGGCAGUGGAGCCUCAGUCUGUGAAACAAACAGCUCCUACCACCACGGCUGCCUUACAGAGAGGCUUAUGCCAAAGUAAUACUCUUAGCUUCUUGACCUUGAUAUUUUAAAUUUUAUAACCACAGUGACAAUCUUUAACAUCAUGUAUUAUUUAAAGCACAGGGAUGGUUUUAUAUGGAGUUAAAUGGACCUAGGAGUAAGGCUGCAUUCCUUCUAAACAUACAGUGUUGAAGUGAGCCUUGCUUGAGAAAGGAGGUUUUGGCUUAGAGGGAGACUGAGUCUUAGCUGAGUUCACCUGAGAAAUAACCAGGUUUUAAUCUUUUCAGACGGGGCAAUAUAAAAUAGUUCUUAUUAGCAUGGAAAAGGUCACUUUUGAAAGAUCGAUUCACCUUCACAGAUGAUUUAUCACUGCUUUGCAAACAAAAGAUUUUUUUUUAAUAACUUAUUUAAUAACACAGAUCCUAUGAGAAAACCAAAGUUUAGAGUUGACCCAGAUUUCUGUGAUGUUCUUCCCAUUUGAAUUCUGAAAUAAAUAAAGAAGGAACAAACAAGCAUGUGUAAUUAGUGAAGAGCAAUUUCAGUAAACAUAUUCCCUAGGGUACUCUAUUUUGAGUCACUGCUUUUUCCUUUUGAUGUACAAAGGAUGUACAUUGUCUAUGUAGGGCAAUUAUGGGAACGUCCCAACUUUGGCAUGCUUUCCAGAAUAAGCAACUUUACAGGAAGAUGGAUGAAGACAACAACUCAUCUUCACGUCAACUGUAAAUUUCUCUCUAUUUGUGUUGCAAAUGUUGAAACUAAAUUUAAACAUUGCUUGGUGUGAGGGCCUUCCAGAGGCCACAUUCUCAUGGAAUACUUUGUAUCCCACUUACUUUCUUCUGUCAGACCCUAUGAAUGAUUCCCAGUUCUGUAUCUAUCUUUACAGACACUCCUAGUUAGUAAAAUCCAGGCUUUGACCAGAAAGAGUCAGGACUUCCACCCACUACUGAAAAUUAUAGCUUAAUCAAUAACACAAUUAGACCUCCCCAACAAACUGGAUCCUACGUGCCUAUAUACUACUUAAGGUUCAUUUCUGGUUUAAUAAAGCUCUGUUCUCAACAUCAGUUGCUCCUUUGUGAAUUUGCUGAAAAGCUCAGACAUUUUAGCAUCUCUUAAAGUUCACAGCAAAGACAAUACUUAAUGUGUUUAAGGCCCAAUUAGUUAUAAAAUUAGGAAUUCAUAGUUCCCAUUUUUUUUAAUUGAGGACCCAAUUUUUGACAUUCAUUUAUUCAUACAGUGCCAAAUUACGACCUGUGCCAGAAUGUCAAUCUACCUGGAUAAGCAGAUACAGAUUUUACCUACUGCACUGGGCACUGUGGGGUAAUUAAUUUCUAAGUGUGUACUUUUUAAAGUGACUGUUUUUUACUUCAUAUGGACAAGGUAGAGAAAACAUUUAAAUCCCAUAGUGGUUUACUUCUGUUUUUUAUGGGUUAUCAUAAAUUGAUACAUCUUAGGGGAUACAAAUGAAUAUUAAAAAGCAAAAGAUUAAUAUUUUUCUUAAAAGGACACAUGCUACAAAACUUACUUUGUAGUUCCGACUUAAAUAUUACUGCGUAUUAUGUUUGCCAUUAGCCUACUUAUUAAAACAUUAACUAUAAACACCAGUCUUUCUUCCAGUACAGACUUGUUUUAUUCUAUUACCUUUCCUGAUUCUCUUCUGCUUUCUCAAAUCUUAAAUAAACUAGCAUAAGAAUCUCACUGUAGUAAGUAAGUCCCAAACUCUCCUACAAAUACUUUAUUUCUCAAAGGCAUAAGAAAGAGGUUUUGGUUCUAUUGUCUGAAUUCCUAUAAAUUUGCUUAAUAUGAUUUCAGCAAAUUUUUACUGAGUUCUUAUUCUGUAAAUCACUGUGUGCUUGGUGGUACAACAGGACACUAAGAUAAAUAGACAGUCCCUGGCUUCACUAAACUUCCAGUUUCACAUUCAAGUUUUAACCACCACAAGUAAAAUGCACUGAGAGGUCAUUCUCAAAGUGAGAAAGGAGGGAGAAAACAAAGCAGGCUUUUGUUUUUUUGCUUCUAAUCACAAUAUUUAAUUUGAACUUACUUACACUUUCGAAAGGCAUGAGAUUUGUCUAUUUCUCAAAGUAGGGAGGGGCAAAGAUUAAAAAAUGCUGAGAUACAUGGUUUUAUGGUUUAUGAAAUAUUUUCAUGUCUGUAUCUAAUUUGAGCCUUACCACAAUUAGUAAAAGAGUAGAUUUUGGAUUUAAAACCCAGGGCCUGUGUUCUUUUCAUUAUACUACAUUGUCUUACAAUAAACAAAACAAACCAGACAGUCCCCUGCCCCAAUUCCACCCAGAGCACUGUAGAUACACAUAUUCUCUUAGUCCUAACAAACUCAGUUCUUGCUAAACAUCACUUAAAGGGUAAAUUACAAUUUUAUUUCAAAUUUAAGCUAAAUCAGCCAGGUAUAAUACUUCCGAGUACAGACAAUGGACCUUAAAUCUAAAUCAUCUUCACUUUGGAGGCUUUCUCAACUACUGCUUAUUUUCCAAACUAACUUUAAGAAUAGUGUAUAGUAUAGAACAUUGCACCCAAAUCACUUGGGGAGCUUUAAAAGACACAGAUGCUGUAGCUCCAGUUCUUCAAAGCCAAUGGGUCUGAGUGGAGAUUAGGCUUUGGAAUGUCUUAGAAGUAUCCCAGGUGCAUAGUGAGAGCUGAGAACAGUGGUAAAAUGGAUGAGGAGAUCAUUAACAGGACCCAAUAAUGGUUUCGUCAAUAAAUGGAACAUUUUCAGAAUCUGUCAUGAUUAUGGAGUAAAUAAAUAUUUCCUAAUGGAAAUUCUAAUUUUGGCAUUUAGUAAAUUUAACAUGGAAGAGGCAGAAAUUGAAGUUUUCAGAUUGUGGCUUUUAUCCACAGCAGAUGGGUUACCUGUAUCUCUCACUUUAGGUUAUCUGUAGAUUAGGCAUUGCUUUCCGCCCCCAAGAUGCUGAGAUGCCACUGUUAGGAGCACAGUCUGUCUGACUGCCACAACAUGUUUAAUACUAUAGUGAAAAAGGAAUUUGGAAACUAAGCCUGCUAAACCAAGCUGAACAAACCCUUUACUAACAUCUAGAAUCAAGGAACAAUAGAACUUUGGAAUUGGAAAGUAUCUUUGUGAAUUCCUCUGGCCCCAUUCUUAAUUUAACAGAUGAAAAAACUAAUGCCCAGAGAGAGUGACCCAUCCACAGUCACAUGGUUUUCGCCUAGGAUUCCUGACUCAGUUUAGGGCUUGUUGCAGAUGGUUCUGAUUCUGCCCAAAGCUAUGUGUUUAGCUUCCCCGGCCUUAAU
rnacentral:lncRNA from 1 species